UCGAGAAUUUUUCUCAAUGGGGGAAACCCUGAAGGAGCGACGCCGCGUGGGGGAUGAAUGGCUUCGGCCCGUAAACCCCUGUCAUCUGCGAGCAAUUCCACGGAUUUAACAGAUGCGUGGUUGAUAGUAGCGGAAGAGGAAGGGACGGCUAACUCUGUGCCAGCAGCCGCGGUAAUACAGAGGUCCCAAGCGUUGUUCGGAUUUACUGGGCGUAAAGGGUGCGUAGGCGGCCUUGAAAGUCUGAUGUGAAAUCUUGGAGCUCAACUCCGAAACUGCAUUGGAUACUGCUUGGCUUGAGGGAUGGAAGGGAGACUGGAAUUCUCGGUGUAGCAGUGAAAUGCGUAGAUAUCGAGAGGAACACCAGUGGCGAAGGCGAGUCUCUGGACAUUUCCUGACGCUGAGGCACGAAAGCCAAGGGAGCAAACGGG
rnacentral:rRNA from 1 species